GGAGAAGUGACCGAGCCGGCUGAAGGUGCUCGCCUGCUAAGCGAGUGCACGGGGAAACUUGUGCCGAGGGUUCGAAUCCCUCCUUCUCCGCCA
rnacentral:tRNA from 1 species